rnacentral:lncRNA from 1 species
GGCGUGAGCCACCGCGCCCGGUGGAAAGGACACUUUUUUACAGUAUGAGCACUGAAACAAAAAGGCAAAGCAAGGUCUGUUCACCUUCAGCUGAGAACGUGAGGAUUGGUUCAGGAGUACAUGCGCAGGUUUGUCAUAUAAGCAAAUUAUGUGGCACAGAAGUUUGGUGUAUGGAUUAUUUCAUCACCCAGGCCGUUUCUCAGCGUUGGAUGUGCAAGCAGUUUUGAGAGAUGAAGUCAUGACUUCAAGACAAAAAAACAGGUUUGCUUAUUUUGCUACAAACCAAUAAGUUCUUCAGCCAUGCUGCAAAUCCACUGUGUAUCCAGUUCCCAUCUGCGGCCCGCACAUCAUCCCCAUGGGACUUGAGAGCAAGAGGAUCCCACGCAAAUCAUGUUGCUUGCUAUGCUCCCUCUCUGUAUGAGUUUAACAGAACAGUUGAAUCGCACAAUCAAGUUGCAAAAUGAAAAGAGCUACCUGCAAACAGUUCUGAGAACUGCCCACCGACCUGCCCUGAGGAUUUACAAUACAAAAAAGAAAAUCGAUGUGUGUGGCUCCCUU